GAUGAACGCUAGCGGCAGGCCUAAUACAUGCAAGACGAACGGUAAGUUGAGUAGCAAUACUUAGCCAAGAGUGUCGUACGGGUGCGUAACACGUAUGCAACCUACCCUAUACAGGAGGAUAGCCUAGGGAAACCUGGAUUAACCCUUCAUAGUAUUAUUGGAUGGCAUCAUUUGAUAAUUAAAACUGAGGUGGUAUAGGAUGGGCAUGCGUCUGAUUAGUUAGUUGGCGGGGUAAUGGCCCACCAAGACGAUGAUCAGUAGGGGUUCUGAGAGGAAGAUCCCCCCACACUGGCACUGAGAUACGGGCCAGACUCCUACGGGAGCAGCAGUAGGGAAUAUUGGGUCAAUGGGAUGCAAGUCUGAACCAGCCAUGCCGCGUGCAGGAAGAA
rnacentral:rRNA from 1 species